CCAGAUAGUUCUGGUGUAUACUCUCUACAUUCACGUACACACAUGUACAUGUAUAGCAAUAUAUUAAAUGAUACUGGUGGAUGGUUUGAAAAUUUAUUAAAAGAAUUGUAUCUGGUCCACAAAAUGCUAACAAAAAGAGACAUUUUUGGAUUAUGAAAGAUUUUCAUUUUCCCUUGGUACCUGCUCGGGCAAUUUUAAAAACUCUUUGUACCCUUUGACAAAGAUAGCAGGGUGUGUGGUUUAGAGAGACAGAUAAAAUCCUGAAGACUUAAAAGAAAACAUUUUUUUUAACAUUUCAUGAUCACUAACUAAAUGAACUUUCCUACUCAGGAGGGAAUGAUAAUUUGGCAGGGAGGUAGAGAUUAAGAAAACUUCAUUUUCUGUUUUCUAAUAUUUUUAAAAUGAGUGGUCCUUUCCUUUUCAAAGCAUGAGUCUGUGAAAUUAAAGACAUACAGUUGUUUUAAAAAAAUUAAUUUAUCUACAAAAUAUGGAGCCAUGAAAGGGAAUGUUUGGAUAGAACAGCUCUGUCCAUUAAUAUUUCUUGCUCCUGCACAUAUCCUAGACAAAGAAGGGCGAUAAUUCAUAGAGAACAUCUUCUCAUCAGUAAUUUUAUUUUGUUGUUGUUGAUUUAACGGAUUUAACUCUUUACUAAUUUUCUUUAUUUCUUCACAUUUCAAAUUUUUAUUUUGGAGACUGUAUGAGUUAUUUGACCAGUUAAAAGAUAUGUGUUUCCAAAUUCUUCAAACUGAGGUUUGGGAAUGGUAGUAGUCAACAUGAUCCCAGUUAAGGAAGUUUUUUGCUCAGUGAAGGCAAUUACAUAGAAUGAGUUUAGUAACUCUGUUGGUCCUCUAGUAGCACCUCUUUUUGUUCCUUUUAUUAAAUAAAAUUUAACAAUUAGUUUCUGUUCCAGUUCUCUCCCUCCAGAGUGCACUUGUUGAUUCCUCAGCCUCUUGGUUUUCCUCAGCUGAGCCGAGAACCAUGGCAUUAGCAAAGUGCCUUGGCUCAUUCCCUAUGCUUCACAGACUUCCAAAGUCUCUCUUCAUCCAUUGGAGCCCCAGCAGUUCCCUUUUGCCCUUCUGGUGUGUAAGUGUUUGGACAUCAUCUCUUCUUUCCAAGCAAGAGAGCUUCUUGCCCUUACCCAUUUAUACCUCAGCAACUGAAAUGUCAGCAAACGUCUUUGAGAAGAUGGAGGACUUUAAUCACUAG
rnacentral:lncRNA from 1 species